rnacentral:lncRNA from 1 species
GUGCAUUUUAUUUCUUUCUUUGUCAUUUACGGAGCAAUUUGGUUUAUUGUAACUGGCGAACUUAAUUUCAACUGCAGUUUUAAAUUUAAAAAGUUUUUUUUAUUGAAUUGAAAUUGACCAACUGCAGGAAGUUAUUGACUCCUUAGACAUGCUAGAAACUUUUUUAAAGGAAGAUUAAACCAUGUAACUUAUUUUAAAAUAUAUAAGACUACUGUCUUUGAAAACAGUAAAUUUCCUCAGUUAAUGAAAAUUGGUGUCAAUAAAAUUGAUUAAUUCACAGUAUUUCAGUGUAGUCUCCUUGAAUGGGCAUUAUUAUUAGUUCUAGUUCUUAU